AAAAGUUAGUGGGAGACAGAGAAACAGAAACAGAGAUCUAAGAGACAGAGACAGAAAAAGACUGAUAGAGAGAGGGAGGGACAGAGGUAAAGGAGACACACACUCAGAGACAGAGAGAAAUCUAGGAGAGACCGAGGCAGCCAGCCUGGUUGGGGCUAGAUGUCACCUCCUUCAUAACUAGAGCUAGCCCCGAGCGGACUUGGCUGCCUGGGGAGGUGGCCAAGUUUCUCCGUGCUGGAGAGGCCGCCGCCCGUUUGCCUGGGCUCUUGUGACCCGGGCCGGAGCGACUGACUCCCAAGGUCCCUUGGAGUCCGGGCUCUGCCUCCGUGAGGGGGAGUCGCUCAUCCCUCUCGCCCGCUGGACUUCUGCCUGGACCUCAGCGCUUCCCUUGGGUGACCAGUCGGGGGGGAGGCAGAAAGCACAAGGAGAUGGCCGUGAGCUGCCUCGCCUUUAACUCCACUGUGCUCGUUGCCUUUCAGUCUCGGGUCCCAGAGGCCUGCGCGUGAGUGUGCGCCGGGGAAGCCGCUUCCGUGCGUCCCGAGGAGAUUCGUCCAAGGCUCCGUUCCUGGAGUUCCGAGAGAACCUCAAGGCCUCAGAGCUUUGGUCAAGGGCAGCCCAAGCAGCCACGUUCGCUCUCAGCCCACAAGGCCCCGACUUUGGGAUGAUAAACCCCCGGCCCCCAGGGCUGGCCCGCAGGGAAAGCU
rnacentral:lncRNA from 1 species